GACGAACGCUGGCGGCGUGCUUAACACAUGCAAGUCGAACGGGAUUUAGUAGACAGAAGCCUCGGCUAAAGAUUACUAAUGAGAGUGGCGAACGGGUGAGUAACGCGUGAGCAACCUGCCUAUGACAGUGGGAUAGCCUCGGGAAACCGGGAUUAAUACCGCAUAAAAUCGUAGAAACACAUGUUUUAACGGUCAAAGAUUUAUCGGGCAUAGAUGGGCUCGCGUCUGAUUAGCUAGUUGGUGAGAUAACAGCCCACCAAGGCGACGAUCAGUAGCCGGGCUGAGAGGAUGAGCGGCCACAUUGGAGCGGAGACACAGUCCAAACUCCUACGGGAUGCAGCAGUGGGGAAUAUUGCACAAUGGGGGAAGCCCUGAUGCAGCGACGACGCGUGAACGAAGAAGGUAUUCGUAUCGUAAAGUUCUGUCCUAUGUGAAGAUAAUGACAGUACCAUAGAAGAAAGCGACGGCUAAAUACGUG
rnacentral:rRNA from 1 species